CCUCCUUUAAAGAAAUCGGAACAAGGCGUGAAAGCGUCCGCACAAUCUGCCUAAUCGCUGUAAAGAUGGACCGCGGGUCUGUAGCUCAGUUGGUUAGAGCGCACCCCUGAUAAGGGUGAGGUCGGAAGUUCAAAUCUUCCCAGACCCACCACCUUCAUGUGUGUAUUCGCAAAAAGGUAACAAGGGGCCAUAGCUCAGAUGGGAGAGCACCUGCUUUGCAAGCAGGGGGUCGGCGGUUCGAUCCCGCCUGGCUCCACCAGGCGCUAAACCACGGCGGGCAAUGUGCCGCGGUGGUUUAUCUCCUGGGCCAAAACCCCCCGGGACGUUCUUUUACAAUUUAGGUAGUAAUGAUGUACGACGGUGAAGUCCGGAACAGCGUUUUGACGUCCUGACUUUACUGGGUAUGCCAGCAUUUAUUAUGGUA
rnacentral:tRNA from 1 species